rnacentral:tRNA from 1 species
GCCUUAAAAGCUAAAAGACAAGCAUUAAUCUUGUAAAUUAAAAGGAAAGGUUAAACUCCUUUUUAAGGCU